rnacentral:rRNA from 1 species
GACGAACGCUGGCGGCGUGCUUAACACAUGCAAGUCGAACGGAAAGGCCCUGCUUUUGUGGGGUGCUCGAGUGGCGAACGGGUGAGUAACACGUGAGUAACCUGCCCUUGACUUUGGGAUAACUUCAGGAAACUGGGGCUAAUACCGGAUAGGAGCUCCUGCUGCAUGGUGGGGGUUGGAAAGUUUCGGCGGUUGGGGAUGGACUCGCGGCUUAUCAGCUUGUUGGUGGGGUAGUGGCUUACCAAGGCUUUGACGGGUAGCCGGCCUGAGAGGGUGACCGGCCACAUUGGGACUGAGAUACGGCCCAGACUCCUACGGGAGGCAGCAGUGGGGAAUAUUGCACAAUGGGCGGAAGCCUGAUGCAGCAACGCCGCGUGCGGGAUGACGGCCUUCGGGUUGUAAACCGCUUUCGCCUGUGACGAAGCGUGAGUGACGGUAAUGGGUAAAGAAGCACCGGCUAACUACGUGCCAGCAGCCGCGGUGAUACGUAGGGUGCGAGCGUUGUCCGGAUUUAUUGGGCGUAAAGGGCUCGUAGGUGGUUGAUCGCGUCGGAAGUGUAAUCUUGGGGCUUAACCCUGAGCGUGCUUUCGAUACGGGUUGACUUGAGGAAGGUAGGGGAGAAUGGAAUUCCUGGUGGAGCGGUGGAAUGCGCAGAUAUCAGGAGGAACACCAGUGGCGAAGGCGGUUCUCUGGGCCUUUCCUGACGCUGAGGAGCGAAAGCGUGGGGAGCGAACAGGCUUAGAUACCCUGGUAGUCCACGCUGUAAACGGUGGGUACUAGGUGUGGGGUCCAUUCCACGGGUUCCGUGCCGUAGCUAACGCUUUAAGUACCCCGCCUGGGGAGUACGGCCGCAAGGCUAAAACUCAAAGGAAUUGACGGGGCCCCGCACAAGCGGCGGAGCAUGCGGAUUAAUUCGAUGCAACGCGUAGAACCUUACCUGGGUUUGACAUGGAUCGGGAGUGCUCAGAGAUGGGUGUGCCUCUUUUGGGGUCGGUUCACAGGUGGUGCAUGGCUGUCGUCAGCUCGUGUCGUGAGAUGUUGGGUUAAGUCCCGCAACGAGCGCAACCCUUGUUCACUGUUGCCAGCACGUUAUGGUGGGGACUCAGUGGAGACCGCCGGGGUCAACUCGGAGGAAGGUGGGGAUGACGUCAAGUCAUCAUGCCCCUUAUGUCCAGGGCUUCACGCAUGCUACAAUGGCUGGUACAGAGAGUGGCGAGCCUGUGAGGGUGCGCGAAUCUCGGAAAGCCGGUCUCAGUUCGGAUUGGGGUCUGCAACUCGACCUCAUGAAGUCGGAGUCGCUAGUAAUCGCAGAUCGGCAACGCUGCGGUGAAUACGUUCCCGGGGCU